rnacentral:tRNA from 1 species
GGGGAAGUGUCGGAAUUGGCAGACGAGCGUGACUUAGGAUCACGUGGAUUAUUUCCGUGAGAGUUCGAGUCUCUCCUUCCCCA